UUUAAAAAAAUCAAUAUAUAGAACACAAUCUUAUAUUAAUUAAUUUAUUUAUUUACAAUGCACUGAAUUUCAUAGGCUUACAUAAACUGAAUUUAAUUUGGUAUUAAUUAAAAUUAGAGUAUAAUUUGAUGGAAUAGUAAUGAAGGUUUUAUGGUCGACCACCAGGGGUUCCUCUUCUUGGCUCAUGACUUGGGUUAGCACUUGGUUCGUUAUAAUCCAUUAAUAUUUCUUCUUCAUUUCCGAGUAUCUUUCUCAUAACUUUUCCUUUUGAUCUCCCAAUUCUCAUCUGCCAAAUAUUUUACAAGCAAAGUUAUAUAUUUUGCAUUUUAAACACAAGCUAAUAUUUUGCAUUUAAAAUAACUAUACUAAUAAUUAAUGAGAAAAAUAUUAAAUUAUGUAAUUAUAAUAUUUUAUAUAUACCUGACCACAAGGGUUACUGUGUUCUUCAUUUAAACCCUCCUUCAAGCUCAUACCUGCAUGAACUCCUUCUGCAAUGAAAUAUAUAUAUCAUCAUCAUCAUCAAAUCAGUUCCUUACUUUUCUAGAUUCAAAUUUUUGCUCGAAAAUUAAAAUAGAAUUGUUAGAAGUAAGCAUAAUUUAACAAAAGGUAAUGUUAAUAAUAUUCACAUUAUUGUUGGGUCAAAUAACUUAAAUCUUAAUCGAUAUAUAGGAACAUUUAUCUCUAGAGAUAGAUUGAAAGAGUUUGGUUUUCCUCCUUCCGUAGUUUGUAGGUUAGUUGUUUUAAUCUUGGCAUUAAAAAAUUGGAGAUAUUUAUAAAUAUAAGAAAAGAUCGUUAAGGAUAUAUUUUGUUGUAUUAUAUUUGUAAAUAAGACAACAUUUUAAAGUUAUAAACUUUAAGAAAUGAGGAGAAAAUCAAAGAGAAAAAUACCUGAAUAGUUAAGGGAAGAGAUGAAGAAGAGGAUGGAGAUGAGAAUGAAGGUGUUAAGUAGAAUAUUGGAAGCCAUUGGUGCUUUGAGGUUAGUUAUUGAUGAGUGAUAUUAAAUGAGAGAGUUAUGUGUAUAUAUAUAUAGAUUGAUGAGAUUGGAGAAUAAAAAUAGGGUUUAAUUGAUUUUAUAUAGAGAGAAAAGAAGAGAGAAUUAAUUAAUUAAUUAAUUGAAUAAGGUAUGGAAGGUGUUA
rnacentral:lncRNA from 1 species